GGCAGUGUAGCUCAGUGGUUAGAGCGCGUCGCUCAUAACGACGAGGUCGCGAGUUCAAUUCUCGCCACUGCCA
rnacentral:tRNA from 1 species